GUUAAAGACAUACUUGUUGCUCCUCAUCUAGUCCAAAACUUACUUUCUGUUCGCAAGCUUACUACUGACAACUGGGUUUCUGUUGAGUUUGAUCCCUUUGGUCUCACUGUGAAGGAUCUGGCAACACAGGCAGUGAUCGCUCGGUGCAAUAGCCUUGGUGAUUUAUAUCCAUUCCAUGAUGCUUCCACCUCCACCCGCGCGGUUACCUACAUCGCCUUUGUAAACUUGUGGCAUCGCCGCUUAGGCCAUCCAAAUCAUGCCAUUGUAUCUAGUUUACUUACUGAAUUUUCCAUUCCUAUUUGUAAAGCUGACCAUGAACCGGCUCUCUGUGAUGCCUGUCAACGUGGAAAGCAUGUUAGAGUGCCUUUUUCUUCUUCCUUGACAUCCACUUCG
rnacentral:rRNA from 1 species